rnacentral:rRNA from 2 species
GGAAAAGAAACCAACCGGGAUUUUGCCUCAGUAACGGCGAGUGAAGCGGCAAAAGCUCAAAUUUGAAAUCUGGCCUCUGGUCCGAAUUGUAAUUUGAAGAAGCGACUCUGGUACCGGCCCUUGUCUAUGUUCCUUGGAACAGGACGUCACAGAGGGUGAGAAUCCCGUGCGAUGGGGAGUCCGGUGCUAUGUAGAGCGUUUUCGACGAGUCGAGUUGUUUGGGAAUGCAGCUCUAAGUGGGUGGUAAAUUCCAUCUAAAGCUAAAUACAGGCGAGAGACCGAUAGCGAACAAGUACUGUGAAGGAAAGAUGAAAAGAACUUUGAAAAGAGAGUGAAAAAGUACGUGAAAUUGUUGAAAGGGAAGGGCUUGGGAUCAGACUUUGUAUUUCCAUGGCGUUCUUUCGGGGGCGUCCUCUGGGUUUACGGGGCCAGCAUGGGUUCUGCGGGCAAGACAAGGGGGACAGGAACGUGGCUCUGCUUCGGCGGAGUGUUAUAGCCUGGCCUUUCGGUUGCCACGCGGGACUGAGGACUGCGAAUCUAGGAUGCUGGCAUAAUGAUCUUAAGCCGCCCGUCUUGAAACA